UCUACUUGACUAGCUGAGAGGAGGUGCAUGGCCGUCGUCAGUUCGUACUGUGAAGCAUCCUGUUAAGUCAGGCAACGAGCGAGACCCACGCCAACAGUUGCCAGCUGUCCCCCGGGAUGGUGGGGACACUGUUGGGACCGCCUCUGCUAAAGAGGAGGAAGGAAUGGGCAACGGUAGGUCAGCAUGCCCCGAAUUAUCUGGGCUACACGCGGGCUACAAUGGGUGGGACAAUGGGUAUCGACACCGAAAGGUGAAGGCAAUCUCCUAAACCCAUCCGUAGUUCGGAUUGUGGGCUGCAACUCGCCCACAUGAAGCUGGAAUCUGUAGUAAUCGUGUCUCAAAAUGGCACGGUGAAUAUGUCCCUGCUCCUU
rnacentral:rRNA from 1 species